rnacentral:rRNA from 1 species
AAAAGAUGACGGUCAAGACCUCGUCUGUUCUUUCUUACAUACGUUUGCGAGAAUUAGUCGGGGUCUUGCCGUGAUUAAUGAAUGCUACCUGGUUGAUCCUGCCAGUAGUCAUAUGCUUGUCUCAAAGAUUAAGCCAUGCAUGUGUAAGUAUGAACGAAUUCAGA